rnacentral:rRNA from 1 species
GAUGAACGCUGGCGGCGUGCCUAAUACAUGCAAGUCGAACGAAACUUCUUUAUCACCGAGUGCUUGCACUCACCGAUAAAGAGUUGAGUGGCGAACGGGUGAGUAACACGUGGGCAACCUGCCCAAAAGCGGGGGAUAACACUUGGAAACAGGUGCUAAUACCGCAUAACCAUAGUUACCGCAUGGUAACUAUGUAAAAGGUGGCUAUACUACCGCUCUUGGAUGGGCCCGGGGCGCAUUAGCUAGUUGGUAGGGUAAAGGCUUACCAAGGCAAUGAUGCGUAGCCGAAUUGAGAGGUUGAUCGGCCACAUUGGGACUGAGACACGGCCCAAACUCCUACGGGAGGCAGCAGUAGGGAAUCUUCCGCAAUGGGCGAAAGCCUGAUGGAGCAACGCCGCGUGGGUGAAGAAGGUCUUCGGAUCGUAAAACCCUGUUGUUAGAGAAGAAAGUGCGUGAGAGUAACUGUUCACGUUUCGACGGUAUCUAACCAGAAAGCCACGGCUAACUACGUG